GGGGGAUUUGAGAAGAGAAAAUGCGUGUUUUUUGCGUUAAAUGGGGGAUUCUCGAAGAGAAAACGCAUGAUUUGCGGGUUAAAUGGGGGAUUCUCGAAGAGAAAACGCGUGAUUUUCGCUUAAUUGGAGGACUUGCGAAGAGAAAACGGAUGUUUUUAGGGUGAAAUGGGGGAUUCUCGAAGAGAAAAUAUGUGAUUUUUUCUUUAAUGGGGGAUUUGCAAAAAGAAAACGUGAUUUUCGCAUAAAUAUGGGAUUUGUGUAGAGAAAACACGUGAUUUUUGCUUAAGUGGGGGAUUCGCGAAGUGAAGAACGAGUGAUUUUCGGGUUGAAUGGAGGUUUCUGGAAGAGAAAACGUGUGAUUUUCGCUUAAAUGGGGGAUUUGAGAAGAGAAAACGUGAUUUUCGCAUAAAUAUGGGAUUUGUGUAGAGAAAACGCGUGAUUUUUGCUUAAGUGGGGGAUUCGCGAAGUGAAGAACGAGUGAUUUUCGGGUUGAAUGGAGGUUUCUGGAAGAGAAAACGUGUGAUUUUCGCUUAAAUGGGGGAUUUGAGAAGAGAAAACGUGAUUUUCGCAUAAAUGGGGGAUUUCCAAAGAAAAAACGUGUGAUUUUC
ensembl:lncRNA